rnacentral:rRNA from 1 species
AGUGAACGCUGGCGGUAGGCCUAACACAUGCAAGUCGAACGGCAGCACAGUAAGAGCUUGCUCUUACGGGUGGCGAGUGGCGGACGGGUGAGGAAUACAUCGGAAUCUACUUUUUCGUGGGGGAUAACGUAGGGAAACUUACGCUAAUACCGCAUACGACCUACGGGUGAAAGCAGGGGAUCUUCGGACCUUGCGCGAUUGAAUGAGCCGAUGUCGGAUUAGCUAGUUGGCGGGGUAAAGGCCCACCAAGGCGACGAUCCGCAGCUGGUCUGAGAGGAUGAUCAGCCACACUGGAACUUAGACACGGUCCAGACUCCUACGGGAGGCAGCAGUGGGGAAUAUUGGACAAUGGGCGCAAGCCUGAUCCAGCCAUACCGCGUGGGUGAAGAAGGCCUUCGGGUUGUAAAGCCCUUUUGUUGGGAAAGAAAAGCAGCAGGUUAAUACCCCGCUGUUCUGACGGUACCCAAAGAAUAAGCACCGGCUAACUUCGUG